rnacentral:pre_miRNA from 1 species
UUAUGCCUGGCUCCCUGUAUGCCACUCUUUAGAGUCCAAUCUGAGGGCUGAUCGGCUCAUGAGGGUGGCGUGCGAGGAGCCAAGCAUAC